GAUGAACGCUGGCGGCGUGCCUAGUACAUGCAAGUCGAGCGAAUGGAUUAAGAGCUUGCUCUUAUGAAGUUAGCGGCGGACGGGUGAGUAACACGUGGGUAACCUGCCCAUAAGACUGGGAUAACUCCGGGAAACCGGGGCUAAUACCGGAUAACAUUUUGAACCGCAUAGUUCGAAAUUGAAAGGCGGCUUCGGCUGUCACUUAUGGAUGGACCAGCGUCGCAUUAGCUAGUUGGUGAGGUAACGGCUCACCAAGGCAACGAUGCGUAGCCGACCUGAGAAGGUGAUCGGCCACACUGGGACUGAGACACGGCCCAGACUCCUACGGGAGGCAGCAGUAGGGAAUCUUCCGCAGUGGACGAAAGUCUGACGGAGCAACGCCGCGUGAGUGAUGAAGGCUUUCGGGUCGUAAAACUCUGUUGUUAGGGAAGAACAAGUGCUAGUUGAAUAAGCUGGCACCUUGACGGUACCUAACCAGAAAGCCACGGCUAACUACGUGCCAGCCGCCGCGGUAA
rnacentral:rRNA from 1 species